AAUUGAAAAUUUAUUCAAAAACAUAAUUUAUUUACUUCUGUAUUUAGGCUUCCCAUCUCACUUUCGGUCUUCUCCACUUCUUAUCACAGAAGAAGACCCCAUCGCUCCCACCAUCAUCUUCAUCGCUCCGACCAAAACUAAGACUGACACCACUACAGCCACCACUACCACCUCCAUCAUGUCUGCCACUAUUAUUAACAUAUUUAUUAUGAUAUGUAUUUAAUUUGUGUUCUAUCAUGUUUUGGUUCAUGUUCUUCAUCAACGAAAUCAAUCGAAAACAUCAGUUCAUGAUGAUUUGUUCUGAAUCGUUGGAGAAAAUAUGAUGAAAAUCAUCAAUAACAACUGAAAACAAAGAAAUAGAGAAAUGAAGUCAGGCAUUAAGUUGAACAGAAUGACAUAGCUAGAUGGGAGUCUGUUGAAGUUGAGAAGAAUGGGCUUUGUUUGGAUUUGAUUUUUAACAGGGAAAGAAGAUGAUUGCUGGUGUUAAUGAAAAUUAGGGUUUGACAACGACUGAGUACAAUGAACAAUUAGGGCUUGUGAUUGUUCAAUUCAGGGUUUUAAUUGUUCAUUGGAGCUGAGAAUAUAGAGAAGAAGAGAGAAUGUUCUAUGAUGGUGAUGCUGUGUCGCAGUGGUUAGGAUAUUGCAGUUCAAGAUGGUUGUGUGGAUAUAAUGGUAGGAGUUAAUAUUACAAAAAAGGUUUGCAGUUGGUUGAUGUGUUGAUGAUGUUAUUGCAGUAUCAUUGCAAGUGGUUGGUGGACAAUACUGAGAUGAAUAAUGAGAGAACAAGAUACUGAAGAAGGAAGUAAUUGGGUCUUGUUUAUGAAAUUGAUUCUCUGAGCUGAUGGAAUUUUGGGCUAUGGUGAAUCUCUUGCAGAUAUGUAUGCUAGGGAGUGAAUUCACAGAGAGAUGAUGGAGGUUCUGGUGUCAGGUGGAUAAGUUGUAGCUGAUGGAUGUUGUAGAUGACAUGGUUUUGUAGUAAUGAACAUAAGGAAGAAAGAGAGGUUGGUGAGUGUCGAUGGAUAUGAAUCUGUGUUGAUGUCUGUGGUUGAAUUUUUUUAUUCAAGAAGUUAGAAGAAGUAGCUAUCCGGGGUUAAGGGAAUGCUGAUGUUGGUUGUUGAAGUAGUGAAGACAUGACGUGGAGUUAAUUGAUAUGGCUGAAUUACAAGAAGUGAAGCUGAAAUAGAUGUAUGUUUAGGAAUUGUACGUGGUGGAUAGUUGAGCUACAGAGUCCAGUGCGGUACUGCUGCUUUACAGCUGAAAAAGCUAGGUCAAGAAGGAGCUAUGUGUGGGGUUUGCACUGGUGUAAGAGAGCAAGUUGAAGAUGAGUAGUGCAGAGAUUGUGUUGAAUAAAUGGAACUCAAGAUUGUAGGGGAGUUGUAAUGUUGCUGGAAAAACUGUGCUGGGAUGCAGAGAAUGAAACAGUAGCAGUGUGGAUUGUGUUGCAAAACUUAAGAUUUUAAAGGUUGCCUGGAGUUACAAUUGAGGCCAAAAUGGUGACAAUGAAUGAAUGGGUUUGUUUGCAGAUAGAUGGCUUUGAUGUGAUGAGUUAAAUCGUGAAAUCUGAUGAUGUAUCUAUAUCGUGUGGCAGUGUAUGGAUUUUAAAUUUGCAGGUGUAAUCCGUGAAGGUUCCGAGAUAAAGAAUGAAGGUGAAACUGAGUGUACUACUUUGGUUUGCAGAUGGGAUGGUACAACAGGUGUUUGAUCUGAAGCUGGUUUGCAAUGCAGAUGUUAUCGGGUCUGAAGCAUAGCAAUGGAUUAUGGAGCUUCUGAAGUGCAGUUGGUUUAUGUUGCAGUGGACUUGUGUUGGAUGCGCUCAAACUAUUGGAGACAACUUGGCCUAGUUGCUUCCACUAUUGGAGACAACCUGAGCCAGUUGCUUCCUUUUUUUGGAGACAACUUGAGAAAGUUUCUUUCACUUUUGGAGGCAACUUGAGCUAGUUGAUUCCAUAUUGGAGGAAACUUGAGCUAGUUGAUUCCAUUUUGGAGGCAACUUGGCUAUGUUUUUUGGUCCAUUCAUUCAUCUGAAAAUUAUACUAUAUGGUAACACAAGGUUGUGUUGAGUUGCUGAUGAUGGUUAUGCUGCUGAUGGUGUUUGAGUAGGGGCAUGGAAGUGACUGCAUCUAUUGGCUCAUGUUGCAAGUGUGCAUAGAUGGUUGUGGUCAUGAAGCUAUUGCAGGUAGAGUUACAGUAGAAGAGAUGGAGGAUAUGGUGUUGUCUGGUGGUGGUUUGAAUUGUUGGUUGAGCACUGAUGGUGUGGCAAAUAUGUGAGUCUGUUUACUGGUUUUGCAAUUGAAAAUAUGAUAAUGCAGUAAAGAAAUAUGGAUCCAGAGAUGCUGGUAUGUGAUUUUGAUAUGUAUUUUUUGUAUAAAUGAAUCUGUGUUUUAAUGGUAGCACAACUGACUAUAUGUCAGAAAAUGUGUGUUCGACUCACACUAGGUUCACUCAUUUGUGUAUAUGUUUUAAUUUU